rnacentral:rRNA from 1 species
UGGGGAAUAUUGCACAAUGGGGGAAACCCUGAUGCAGCGACGCCGCGUGAGUGAGGAAGUAUUUCGGUAUGUAAAGCUCUAUCAGCAGGGAAGAAAAUGACGGUACCUGACUAAGAAGCCCCGGCUAACUACGUGCCAGCAGCCGCGGUAAUACGUAGGGGGCAAGCGUUAUCCGGAUUUACUGGGUGUAAAGGGAGCGUAGACGGAGCAGCAAGUCUGAUGUGAAAAUCCGGGGCCCAACCCCGGAAGUGCAUUGGAAACUGUUGAUCUAGAGUGUCGGAGAGGCAAGUGGAAUUCCUGGUGUAGCGGUGAAAUGCGUAGAUAUCAGGAGGAACACCAGUGGCGAAGGCGGCUUGCUGGACGAUGACUGACGUUGAGGCUCGAAAGCGUGGGGAGCAAACAGGAUUAGAUACCC